rnacentral:rRNA from 1 species
ACGGGAGGCAGCAGUGGGGAAUAUUGGGCAAUGGGGGAAACCCUGACCCAGCAACGCCGCGUGAAGGAAGAAGGCCUUCGGGUUGUAAACUUCUUUUACCAGGGACGAAGGACGUGACGGUACCUGGAGAAAAAGCCACGGCUAACUACGUGCCAGCAGCCGCGGUAAUACGUAGGUGGCAAGCGUUGUCCGGAAUUACUGGGUGUAAAGGGCGUGUAGGCGGAGCUGCAAGUCAGAUGUGAAAUCUCCGGGCUUAACCCGGAAACUGCAUUUGAAACUGUAGCCCUUGAGUAUCGGAGAGGCAAGCGGAAUUCCUAGUGUAGCGGUGAAAUGCGUAGAUAUUAGGAGGAACACCAGUGGCGAAGGCGGCUUGCUGGACGACAACUGACGCUGAGGCGCGAAAGCGUGGGGAGCAAACAGGAUUAGAUACCCUGGUA